rnacentral:rRNA from 1 species
GUCUAGAGCCAUACCACCCUGAACGCACCCAAUCUUGUCUGAUCUUGGAACCUAAGCAGGGUCAGGCCUGGUUAGUACUUGGAUGGGAGUAAGAGGAGGAAAAACAAUGUUGGAUUUGGAGU